rnacentral:rRNA from 1 species
UACGGAGGGUGCAAGCGUUAUCCGGAAUCGCUGGGUUUAAAGGGUGCGUAGGCGGCUAAAUAAGUCAGAGGUGAAAGCUUGCAGCUUAACUGCGAAAUUGCCUUUGAUACUGUAUAGCUUGAAAGGAGCUGAGGUCAGCAGAAUGUAGCAUGUAGCGGUGAAAAGCAUAGAUUUGCCAUAGAAUACCAAUUGCGAAGGCAGCUGGCUUGGCUUACUUUUACGCUGAGACAAUAAAUCGUGGGAAUCGAACAGG